rnacentral:rRNA from 1 species
GACGAACGCUGGCGGCGUGCUUAACGCAUGCAAGUCGAACGGAAAGGCCCUGCUUUUGUGGGGUGCUCGAGUGGCGAACGGGUGAGUAACACGUGAGUAACCUGCCCUUGACUUUGGGAUAACUUCAGGAAACUGGGGCUAAUACCGGAUAGGAGCUCCUGCUGCAUGGUGGGGGUUGGAAAGUUUCGGCGGUUGGGGAUGGACUCGCGGCUUAUCAGCUUGUUGGUGGGGUAGUGGCUUACCAAGGCUUUGACGGGUAGCCGGCCUGAGAGGGUGACCGGCCACAUUGGGACUGAGAUACGGCCCAGACUCCUACGGGAGGCAGCAGUGGGGAAUAUUGCACAAUGGGCGGAAGCCUGAUGCAGCAACGCCGCGUGCGGGUUGACGGCCUUCGGGUUGUAAACCGCUUUCGCCUGUGACGAAGCGUGAGUGACGGUAAUGGGUAAAGAAGCACCGGCUAACUACGUG